rnacentral:rRNA from 1 species
CACGUAGGGGGCAAGCGUUGUCCGGAUUUAUUGGGCGUAAAGAGCUCGUAGGCGGUUCGGUAAGUUGGGUGUGAAACCUCCAGGCUCAACCUGGAGACGCCACCCGAUACUGCUGUGACUAGAGUCCGGUAGGGGAGCGUGGAAUUCCUGGUGUAGCGGUGAAAUGCGCAGAUAUCAGGAGGAACACCGGUGGCGAAGGCGGGUCUCUGGGCCGUAACUGACGCUGAGGAGCGAAAGCGUGGGGAGCGAACAGG